GUGUCAGCAGCCGCGGUAAUACAGAGGGUGCAAGCGUUGUUCGGAAUUAUUGGGCGUAAAGCGCGUGUAGGCGGCAUGGUAAGUCGGGUGUGAAAUCCCUCAGCUCAACUGAGGAAGUGCGCCCGAAACUGCCGUGCUUGAGUGCCGGAGAGGAUGGCGGAAUUCCCCAAGUAGAGGUGAAAUUCGUAGAUAUGGGGAGGAACACCGGUGGCGAAGGCGGCCAUCUGGACGGCAACUGACGCUGAGACGCGAAAGCGUGGGUAGCAAACAGGAUUAGAAACCCGCGUAGUCC
rnacentral:rRNA from 1 species